rnacentral:antisense_RNA from 1 species
GAGCCCAGGUAUCAUAUACACCGCCAAAAUAAAGAGCCUUGAGUACUAGAAGAAAAGCACCUAGACCUAACAAAAUUAAGUGAAUACCCAAAAUUGUAGUCAUUUUAUUUCUAUCUUUCCA